rnacentral:lncRNA from 1 species
CGCGAAAUUUCUCAAGUGCAAAUAUUGAAUUCAAAAGUAUAAAAGUCGUGCAAACUUGCACAAUUGGAGCUUGGUUCUUAGUACAGAGCAUAUUCCUACCCUUUUUUUUCCAGACUUUGAUGCCUAAACAAAGUGCCCUACUAAAAAUCUUGGCAUAUCCUUUGGAAAUGCGGAUCCAGCCUCCCACUAACCAAAAAGUGCAAGCUUACCAUCGUGAUAUUGUUCAUGGCAAUUAGUCUUGCUGUCAUGCUGUGAUUGAUUCGGUUGAUGACAACAACAGACACAAGCAUGACGCUCCGUUCUGAAAUUUCAUUAGCCUCGUUCCCGUCCCCAACCUGGAACAUGAUGCCGGAUUGCGUCCAGGUUCAUGCACUCAUCAAACAAAGCUGGUUUUCAGCAUCCUCGUUCACCCAAUGACCCAAUCGAGAGUACCAAGAGAAGAGGAAGAUAUGAACCAUGAGUGCAUCGAUCUUUUUUGCUUCCAGCGAUUUUUUAUCUUUACCAUCAAUUCGUUCAUUCAUAUCCAACAAGAGCGGUAAAAAGGUGAAAAGAAAACUAGUGAAUCACCAUGGCCUUUGGCAUAGAUAGCUCGGCGAGUAAUCUCUACCCACCUCUCUACAAUUACUCCGUAGUUAGCAAGCAGAGCGAGGAGAUGAGCAAGGAGGAUGGUUUCAGCAGAUAAUCCUGAAACCAGCUGCUCCAAUCACCUCCAAGGUAGGUACACAACCUCUUCAGCUUUACACGAAAAAGAAAAAACACAAACAAAACCACUCGUAAUUAACCAAGGGACGUGGCCGGCGCCGGUCGGCGGCGGGGGCCGGGGGGG